rnacentral:lncRNA from 1 species
AUGUCAGAACCCAAAUGCAUAUGGACUUGAUAGAGCCUGGAGAGUGACUGAAAUCACAGCUGCCCAACUUAUAUGCGGAAGUCUCCUACCGAGGGAAGAAAACCACAGAUUCUCAGAGCCAGAAGGAAACUGCAAAGUAUGAAAUAUUUGUAUUCACUUAAAGUGGAAAGACAAUCUGCACACCUGGAGGAGAUAUUUGCAACAUUUACAACUGGCAAAGGUUUAUUACCAAGAAUAUAUAAAGAAGUCUUAUAAAUCAACAAGAAAGAAGAAAAACAACAGAAAGAAAUGGACAAAAGAAAAAGCAUUUUAUAAAAGAAGAAAUGCUCAUGGCCAGCAAACAUAUGGAGAUGUUCAAACUCAUGUGAAAUGUAAAUCAAGACCCAAUAAGAUAAGCUUUUAUGUCCACUAAAAUGGCAAAAUGUUAAUAGCUAGACAAUCCAAGUAUUGGAGAACAUACAGAUCCAUGGGAUCUCUUACAUAUCGCUUAUAAGGGUACGCAUUAGGACAUAGGACACUCACUUAGAAAAAGUGUGGCAUUAUCUUGCAAAAUCAAACACUCACAUAGGCUGCUGUGCAGGUCCUGAGUCUGUUUGCCCUCAGAUCCACUCUUUGCUAUGCCCUUAUGUCCUCAGUUUUCCAGCAGGAUCUCGGCAGCCAUGUCAUCUUGCUUCCAGUUGGGCUCAGUUAAUAAAAGAGAGAGAAUGGAAGGUGGAAAGAAGGGAGAAGCCAAGGUGUUUCUCACCAGCACCCUCCCCUUCUCCUCUCAGGUAACAUCCCCUGUGGUGGCCACAGCUCUCCGAUGGGUCCAGUUCCCACAGGAAAGCCAGCCAUGAUUCUAACUUCUACCAGGUGACCCUGGCCCUGGGCUCUGGUGACACUAACCUUUUGUUUCUCUAGUCCUGGGGAGGGGUAGUAACAGCUUCCUGCUAUUAUUAAUUUAUGGAUUGCCUCAUUGCCUCCUGUGAGGCUUCUCAGCUAUUGAUUACCAUACUACUCAGCAAUAAAAAGGAAAAAACUAUUGAUACAUGCAACAACUUUGUCGGACCACAAGAGAAUUUUACCAACUAAAAAAGCCAGUCUCACAUUGUUACAUACUAUAUGAUUCCACUUACAUAACCUUCUAGAAAUGACAAAAUUAUUGAGGUGAAGAACAGAUUAGUGGUUGCCAAGGGUUAAAGACAGGGUUGGGGUUGGAGAAAGAAAUCAGUGUACCUAAAAAGAAGCAGCCAGAGGGAUCUUUGUGGUGACGGGACAGUUCUGUAUCUUGAUUGUGGUGGUGGUUAUACAAAUCUACGUGUAAUAAAGUUUUAUGUGUGCAUAGAACUAUGUACAUACUCAAACAAAUGCAUGUAACCCUGGUGAAAUCUGAAUAAGGUCUGUGGAUUGUGCCAAUACCAGUGACCUGGUUUUGAUACUGUAUUAUAGCUAUCUAAGACAUUAUUAUCAGGAGAAAAUGGGGGAAAGGUACAUGUACUUUUCUGUACUAUUUUUGCAACUUCUCGUGAAUCUGUUACUAUUUCAAAAUUAAAAGUAUCUGAAAAUCCA